AUGAAUACUGGCUUCGUUAGCCACUAACGGGAAAAUCAGCCUGUCCAUUGAAGACUUGAUGCCAGGCACUGAAUUCUCUCCAGCUGUGAUAUUGCUGGGUGGCCUCCCCUUGCAGUUCUCUGCAUUGAAAACCUGUUGUUUAGUGCAGCCACCUUCAUUAGCUGCCUUAGCUUCAUCUCCUGGAGCACUUGCAGCAGCCUCUGGGUCAGCUCUUCCCGCCUUACCUUGCACAGAGGGUAAAAAGAAAAUGCAAGACCACCAUGCUGCAUCGGGAUCUCUGAAAGAACGUGAGGAAGACGGUUUCCAAAGGCAGGUGAAGAAAGUACGCGCCCUUGAUGAAAUCAGUGGACAGAGAACUAUGGACACUGAAGGGAAGGUGGACAUGAACGGAUGUGAGCUGGUGGGAAAGCAGCAGCUGUUGGCAGCAAAGGAGGAGGCAAAAUUGGCUGAAGAGGAGACAAGA